GAUGAACGCUGGCGGCGUGCCUAAUACAUGCAAGUCGAGCGAACAGACGAGGAGCUUGCUCCUCUGACGUUAGCGGCGGACGGGUGAGUAACACGUGGAUAACCUACCUAUAAGACUGGGAUAACUUCGGGAAACCGGAGCUAAUACCGGAUAAUAUAUUGAACCGCACGGUUCAAUAGUGAAAGCCGGUUUUGCUGUCACUUAUAGAUGGAUCCGCGCCGCAUUAGCUAGUUGGUAAGGUAACGGCUUACCAAGGCGACGAUGCGUAGCCGACCUGAGAGGGUGAUCGGCCACACUGGAACUGAGACACGGUCCAGACUCCUACGGGAGGCAGCAGUAGGGAAUCUUCCGCAAUGGGCGAAAGCCUGACGGAGCAACGCCGCGUGAGUGAUGAAGGUCUUCGGAUCGUAAAACUCUGUUAUUAGGGAAGAACAAAUGUGUAAGUAACUAUGCACGUCUUGACGGUACCUAAUCAGAAAGCCACGGCUAACUACGUG
rnacentral:rRNA from 1 species